rnacentral:rRNA from 1 species
GGUUAAGUUAGAAAGGGCGCACGGUGGAUGCCUUGGCACUAGGAGCCGAUGAAGGACGGGACGAACACCGAUAUGCUUCGGGGAGCUGUAAGCAAGCUUUGAUCCGGAGAUUUCCGAAUGGGGAAACCCACCACUCGUAAUGGAGUGGUAUCCAUAUCUGAAUACAUAGGAUAUGAGAAGGCAGACCCGGGGAACUGAAACAUCUAAGUACCCGGAGGAAGAGAAAGCAAAUGCGAUUCCCUGAGUAGCGGCGAGCGAAACGGGACCAGCCCAAACCAAGAGGCUUGCCUCUUGGGGUUGUAGGACACUCUGUACGGAGUUACAAAGGAACGAGGUAGAGAUGAAGAGGUCUGGAAAGGCCCGCCAUAGAAGGUAACAGCCCUGUAGUCAAAACUUCGUUCUCUCCUGAGUGGAUCCUGAGUACGGCGGAACACGUGAAAUUCCGUCGGAAUCCGGGAGGACCAUCUCCCAAGGCUAAAUACUCCCUAGUGACCGAUAGUGAACCAGUACCGUGAGGGAAAGGUGAAAAGCACCCCGGAAGGGGAGUGAAAGAGAUCCUGAAACCGUGUGCCUACAAGUAGUCAGAGCCCGUUAACGGGUGAUGGCGUGCCUUUUGUAGAAUGAACCGGCGAGUUACGAUCCCGUGCAAGGUUAAGCAGAAGAUGCGGAGCCGCAAAUGAAAGCGAGUCUGAAUAGGGCGAAUUGAGUACGUGGUCGUAGACCCUAAACCAUGUGAUCUACCCAUGUCCAGGUUGAAUUUCAGGUAAAACUUAAUGGAGUCACGAACACAAGCACGUUGAAAAGUGCGGGGAUGAGGUGUGGGUAGGGGUGAAAUGCCAAUCGAACCUGGAGAUAGCUGGUUCUCUCCGAAAUAGCUUUAGGGCUAGCCUCAAGGUAAGAGUCUCGGAGGUAGAGCACUGAUUGGACUAGGGGCCCCUACCGGGUUACCGAAUUCAGUCAAACUCCGAAUGCCGAUGACUUAUCCUUGGGAGUCAGACUGCGAGUGAUAAGAUCCGUAGUCGAAAGGGAAACAGCCCAGACCGCCAGCUAAGGUCCCAAAGUAUACGUUAAGUGGAAAAGGAUGUGGAGUUGCUUAGACAACCAGGAUGUUGGCUUAGAAGCAGCCACCAUUUAAAGAGUGCGUAAUAGCUCACUGGUCGAGUGACUCUGCGCCGAAAAUGUACCGGGGCUAAACGUAUCACCGAAGCUGCGGACUGUUCUUCGAACAGUGGUAGGAGAGCGUUCUAAGGGCUGUGAAGCAAGACCGGAAGGACUUGUGGAGCGCUUAGAAGUGAGAAUGCCGGUAUGAGUAGCGAAAGAGGGGUGAGAAUCCCCUCCACCGAAUGCCUAAGGUUUCCUGAGGAAGGCUCGUCCGCUCAGGGUUAGUCGGGACCUAAGCCGAGGCCGAAAGGCGUAGGCGAUGGAUAACAGGUUGAUAUUCCUGUACCACCUCCUCACCAUUUGAGCAAUGGGGGACGCAGGAGGAUAGGGUAAGCGCGGUAUUGGAUAUCCGCGUCCAAGCAGUUAGGCUGGGAAAUAGGCAAAUCCGUUUCCCGUGAAGGCUGAGCUGUGAUGGCGAGCGAAUUAUAGUAGCGAAGUUCCUGAUUCCACACUGCCAAGAAAAGCCUCUAGCGAGGUGAGAGGUGCCCGUACCGCAAACCGACACAGGUAGGCGAGGAGAGAAUCCUAAGGUGAUCGAGAGAACUCUCGUUAAGGAACUCGGCAAAAUGACCCCGUAACUUCGGGAGAAGGGGUGCUCUGUUAGGUGCAAGCCCGAGAGAGCCGCAGUGAAUAGGCCCAGGCGACUGUUUAGCAAAAACACAGGUCUCUGCGAAGCCGUAAGGCGAAGUAUAGGGCUGACGCCUGCCCGGUGCUGGAAGGUUAAGAGGAGCGCUUAGCGUAAGCGAAGGUGCGAAUUGAAGCCCCAGUAAACGGCGGCCGUAACUAUAACGGUCCUAAGGUAGCGAAAUUCCUUGUCGGGUAAGUUCCGACCCGCACGAAAGGCGCAACGAUCUGGGCACUGUCUCAACGAGAGACUCGGUGAAAUUAUAGUACCUGUGAAGAUGCAGGUUACCCGCGACAGGACGGAAAGACCCCGUGGAGCUUUACUGCAGCCUGAUAUUGAAUGUUGGUACAGCUUGUACAGGAUAGGUAGGAGCCUUGGAAACCGGAGCGCCAGCUUCGGUGGAGGCAUCGGUGGGAUACUACCCUGGCUGUAUUGACCUUCUAACCCGCCGCCCUUAUCGGGCGGGGAGACAGUGUCAGGUGGGCAGUUUGACUGGGGCGGUCGCCUCCUAAAAGGUAACGGAGGCGCCCAAAGGUUCCCUCAGAAUGGUUGGAAAUCAUUCGCAGAGUGUAAAGGCACAAGGGAGCUUGACUGCGAGACCUACAAGUCGAGCAGGGACGAAAGUCGGGCUUAGUGAUCCGGUGGUUCCGCAUGGAAGGGCCAUCGCUCAACGGAUAAAAGCUACCCCGGGGAUAACAGGCUUAUCUCCCCCAAGAGUCCACAUCGACGGGGAGGUUUGGCACCUCGAUGUCGGCUCAUCGCAUCCUGGGGCUGUAGUCGGUCCCAAGGGUUGGGCUGUUCGCCCAUUAAAGCGGUACGCGAGCUGGGUUCAGAACGUCGUGAGACAGUUCGGUCCCUAUCCGUCGCGGGCGCAGGAAAUUUGAGAGGAGCUGUCCUUAGUACGAGAGGACCGGGAUGGACGCACCGCUGGUGUACCAGUUGUUCUGCCAAGGGCAUCGCUGGGUAGCUAUGUGCGGACGGGAUAAGUGCUGAAAGCAUCUAAGCAUGAAGCCCCCCUCAAGAUGAGAUUUCCCAUUCCGCAAGGAAGUAAGAUCCCUGAAAGAUGAUCAGGUUGAUAGGUCUGAGGUGGAAGUGUGGCGACACAUGGAGCUGACAGAUACUAAUCGAUCGAGGACUUAACCAA